GAUGAACGCUGGCGGCGUGCCUAAUACAUGCAAGUCGAGCGAACAGACGAGGAGCUUGCUCCUCUGACGUUAGCGGCGGACGGGUGAGUAACACGUGGAUAACCUACCUAUAAGACUGGGAUAACUUCGGGAAACCGGAGCUAAUACCGGAUAAUAUAUUGAACCGCAUGGUUCAAUAGUGAAAGACGGUUUUGCUGUCACUUAUAGAUGGAUCCGCGCCGCAUUAGCUAGUUGGUAAGGCAACGGCUUACCAAGGCAACGAUGCGUAGCCGACCUGAGAGGGUGAUCGGCCACACUGGAACUGAGACACGGUCCAGACUCCUACGGGAGGCAGCAGUAGGGAAUCUUCCGCAAUGGGCGAAAGCCUGACGGAGCAACGCCGCGUGAGUGAUGAAGGUCUUCGGAUCGUAAAACUCUGUUAUUAGGGAAGAACAAUUGUGUAAGUAACUAUGCACGUCUUGACGGUACCUAAUCAGAAAGCCACGGCUAACUACGUG
rnacentral:rRNA from 1 species